GUCUGGGUGAGUGGGAAGGACAGCAGGUCCCACAGGGCUGCUGCUCCCCUCCUUCCAAACCAGAGGCUGAUAAAAGCAGGAGGAGCAGAGACAUGAUUCCUCCUGCUGCUCCUCAUCACCAACUGCAAUGAUUGCACCUACCAGUCAUUCGUUCUGCUGGUUCUUCCUAAGCCACCAAGCUGAAGCCCGAGGGUUUGUACCGGAGGGGCUAGCGGAGGGAGGGCAGUGAGGGGUCAGGUCACUGCCAGGCGGCUGGGUGUGUAAGAAUGGGGGCUUAUAAGAAAGAUGAGGACAGACUUUUUAGCAGGGCCUGUAGCAAUAGGACAAAGCGUAAUGGUUUUAAACUAAAAGCUAGAUUCAGACUAGCUAUAAGGAAGAAAUCUUUUGCGAUGAGGUUGUUGAAACACUGAAUAGGUUGCUCAGAGAGGUGGUAGAUGCCCCAUCUCUGGAAACAUUCAAGGUCAGAUUGGAUGGGGCUCUGAGCCACCUGGUCUAGUGGAAGAUGUUCCUGUUCAUUGCAGGGGGGUUGGACUAGAUGACCUUAGAAUCAUAGAAUCAUUUAGGUUGGAAAAGACCUUUAAGACCGUCAAGUCCAACUGUUAACCCAGGACUGGCAAAUCCACCACUAAACUACAUCCCUAAGCACCGCAUCUACAUGCUUUUUAAGGACUUCCAUGGAUGGUGAUUCCACCACCUCCCUGAGCAGCCCGUUCCAAUGCUUGACCACCCUUUCAGUGAAGAAAUUUUUCCUAAUAUCCAAUCUAAACCUCCCAGGCUCAACUUGAGGCUGUUUCCUCUUGUUCUGUCACCAGUUAUCUGGGAGAAGAGACCAACCCCCACCUGCCCCCAGCCUCCUUUCAGGCAGCUGUAGAGAGCGAUAAGGUCCCCCCUGAGCCUCCUCCUCUCCAGAAUAAACAACCCCACUUCCCUCAGCUGCUCCUCACAAGGCUUGUUCUCUGGUCCCUUCACCUUUAUAGGUCCUUUCCAAAACAACCUCUUCCAUGAUUCUGUGAAGAGUGUUUUGCAGGAAGAGGAGAUCAGCUGGGAGUCUGGUGGUGUGGUGUCACCCGCAGGACCUGGGUCGAGGGCAGGGGCAGUGCCAGAGAAGCUGCUUUGGAUCUGAGGCAGGUCUUGGAGAAAGGAGAAGUGAUAGAGCCUUGUUGUUGUGGAGGAGAUGGUGGAGCUGAAUGUGGAAUCAACUAGCCCCAAACAAAAUGCUCAACAUAUGAAAUGGCUGAAGGAUGCAAGCAGGGCCAGCGGAUGAUAUCUUGGCUCAUCUUCAAGAGGAAGGGUUGGAAGUGUGUUGUGCAAGUGCCAAGUAUGGCAUGUGGAUCAAUUUUGGAUGGCACCCAGCCAGGCUGGCAAGGAGCCAGGAGCCUUCGCAUCCGAAGCACAGCAUUGAGAGAGCCAACAGCGCUAGCUCCCAGCUUCUCCCGAGUCCUGUGGGAGCCCAGGAGCCAUUCUGGAGGAUGAUGCUGGAAUUACGUGUGGAAAGGACCGUAUUGAUUCUCCUGAGGCAUCAGUCUUCUGCUGCCCUCCUGCCCCACAUGCUUCUCUUCCAGCCAAGCACAGCACAGCGCUGGGUCACCUAACUUGCUGUCCCGGUUCUCGGGAGCAUGUGCUCCGAUGACAGUGACCACCAAGCAUCAUUCAAGGACGCUGUGCAUCACACAUGGCACAAGAGCCUCCAAGUCUCAUUUGAGCUCCUGGUUUCAUUAAAACUGCUUCAGGGAAAACAUUUUGGUGACAGGAGCAGAUUCUUUGUGGAGCUGAAUGAGGGAAACUAUGUUGUUCAAGUAAAGGCAAUUUAAUUCAUAUAAAAUAAAUGCUGACUUGUUAAAGAAGAUUAUUCUCCUCUUCUUCGUACCCCUAUUGUCCCUUUCUUGUGCUAUUUGUUUAAAGCAUAUGCAAGCAGCUGGCACAGGGCAGCGGUUUCUCCAGGAAGCCAAUUUCUGUCUCCAAAAGUAAAAUCUGAAAAAAAGGAAAAGUGAAAUCUGCCUCCAAAUGCAGGAGUUGCUGUUCAAAAUGAAAAUGAAUUGGUAGGUAGGAGGGCCGGGAAAAGAGAGGGGGAGAGCAAGAGAGGGAUGGGGGCAACACGGCGUGCCCAGACCUCUCCCUUAAGGCUGGACGACGGCCGUUCCCAUGCCUGGCAACAAGCUUCCUGCGCUCCUGUUGCCUCCCGCACCUUUUAAAAGCGGGUGUUGGUACAGAGGACCAGUAGAGUUUUAAUUUACCUCCAGAG